GUAACGAAUAUUCCACAAUGCGCGAAAGCGUGAUGGAGCGAUGCCGCGUGCAGGAUGAAGCCCUUCGGGGUGUAAACUGCUGUCAGGGUUUACCAACACAAUGAGGAGACCCAAAGGAAGAGACGGCUAACUCUGUGCCAGCAGCCGCGGUAAUACAGAGGUCUCGAGCGUUAAUCGGAGUCACUGGGCUUAAAGGGUGCGUAGGCGGUUCUGUAAGUGCUUUGUGAAAUCCCAUGGCUUAACCAUGGAAUUGCUUGGCAUACUGCAGAACUUGAGGUUGGUAGGGGUCGCUGGAACUCUAGGUGGAGCGGUGAAAUGCGUAGAUAUCUAGAGGAACGCCAAAGGUGAAGACAGGCGACUGGGCCAAUUCUGACGCUGAGGCACGAAAGCGUGGGGAGCGAACGGGAUUAGAUACCCCUGUAGUCC
rnacentral:rRNA from 1 species